rnacentral:misc_RNA from 1 species
ACCGCGCCGCUUGACGAACGUCUCAUGUGGAUUUACACCAAUUUUCAUAAACUACUCGUAAACCUUAAGAUUUACGCGUGCACAAGUGCGAUAGAGCAUCAUAAGGUCCCGCGAUAUCUUAAGACUAAACGCUAUUAGUAUAUAAAGCACAUUCCUAUGAUGCUAGAAGACCUUCACAACGGAACGAUGGACAACGAUUCCAGCGAGAGUGAAGAGGCCGACCGUCCGACCAAUAUAGUCAUCUUUCCGUGCAAACUGCUUAGGAAAUUCAUACAUCUGUACAAAGAGCAGCGCUGCCUAUGGGACCGGACAAGUUUCGUGUACAAACAAAAGCAAAAGCGGCACGAAGCUAUUACGAAGCUGACGAAGUUAGUGCAAGAGCACGAACCCAGUGCAACACGAGUGCACGUAUUGAGGAAGAUAGAAAGCUUGCGCGCGUGCGUGCGACGCGAACACAAACGGGUGCUAGACAGCCGACGGAUCGCGACUAACCCCGACGAAAUAUACAAGCCCCACCUUUGGUACUACGAUCUGUUUUCAUUCAUGUUCGAGGAUAACAGCUAUAACGCAGCAAAAGCGGAGGAUAAAGGCAGCAAAACGCAACAGGCGGGCGUCGCGGGAUCUGAAGAAGAGGAAGAAGGACAACCAGUGUACGAAGAAGAGCCUCACGAAUUUGAACAUUCGGUAGACCCAUCAGAUUACAGCUUAGCAACCAGUAUGGUGGAAGUGUCAGACAAUAGCAAACGCUAUUCGGACGUUGACGACGAUGGAAAAACCAAGCGACUAUGUGCAGAUGUACUGGACGAAUAUGAUGCUAUUGGUAAAUAUGGGUUAUAGAUUCAAGUUCACAAUGAAUUACCUAGGUCUACAUACUAGUAGAACUAUUAAAAAUUUUGUUUUACUGGUAUAAACGUAGCUGCAAAGCUUCGAAAUCUUCCACCCAACAUGAGGAUCGUAGCGGAGAAACUGAUAAAUGACGUACUCUUCCAAGCCCAGCUGAAUGGACUCAACUCUUCCACAGUGAUCAUCACUGCAG